rnacentral:lncRNA from 1 species
CCUCUGCCUCCAGGUUCCUGUCCUGUGUGAGUUCCUGUCCUGACUUCCUUUGGUGAUGAACAGUAAUGUGGAAGUGAGGUAACAACAUCAUUAAGAAGAGAACCGGAAGACAAGACACAGCUAUUAGAAUGGAACACGUGCAGGAACUGCUGGCCUUGGUGUUGAUGAAGCAGCGGAACAGACAGAACUCUCCUACAUCUCUGUUAGGAACGUGAAAUGAGACAAUCAAUUUGGAUAAAGGUCUGGCUGUAUUUUUGUAAAACUAAGACAGAGGUAUAAUCUGCCACUUGACACAGUGAUUUUGCUUCUCGGUCCUGAUGUAAAGGGACAAAAAGACAUAUAGUUAAUGUUGCAGAUGUAUCCAAAAUAACUCUGAACUGGUAAUAAGCCUUGUGAUUAUCAACAAGAUAAACAAAGGACAGUGUGUUCAGCCAGUGGAACUACUGCAGCACUAGAAAGGAUAAACUACUGAAUCAUGCACGCAUGGAACAAAUUCAGAUUAUUUUAUGCCGAAUGAGAGAAGCCUUACAAUAAAAUUUCAAUAUAACUCCACUUAUACCCUGUUCUAAAAUGGGAAAAACUGAUUU